GCAGCCCUCGGGUCUAGCCGUUGGCUCCCCUGCACGACCGCCUCUGCCUCGCCCCAGAUCCGGGCCGCCCGAGCCACCGCGUAGCAUCUAGACGCCAUAUCCGGACUCCUAGCGCGCCAGCUCGGUGGCCGCCUGCGUAGCCAAGCCGCACCUCUGAACGCGGUCACCCCGAGGCAGCGUGCGCCCACGAGACGCUAGUGGCAGCACAGCGCUCGCGCACACCCACCAUUGCGCUCCACAGCGCCUGCGCAGCACCGCUCCGCUCCCUGACCUCGCGUGGCAGCGGCAGCCAGAUCCGCGCUGCCCUGCGCCAUCGAGCCGCGCCGCUGCACCCUCCCGCCUUCACGCACACCGAGGACCACGUCGCCGACAGGCAGCCAAGAACCCUACCGCGCCUUGUUGAGCUCCACCUCUCCGUGGUUGAGCCGCCCCCGCGCUUUGUGUUCCUCGCGAGAUGGAGAAGGCCCCGCCACCGCCGACCCCGCACGGGCUUUGCCCAGCGGCGGUGAGGGAGGUAGGAUGGGAUGGGUGGGCGGCGGCGGCGGCGAUUUAGGGUUCUCAUGGGCCGCUGCGGGGAGCGACACGGGAGUCGUUCGUUACUGUGGGAGUGUUUGCCAGUCAAAUUAAAGCUCUGCCCUCUCGGUUUAUUUGUGUAUUGAUUGCUGUAGACUGUAGUUUUACAUGAUUAGGCUUAUUUGAUUCCCCUUUUUUUUUAUCGAUUUCAGAUUAAUUCGGAUUUUGUAUAUGAAUUUGGUUACGUGAAUAUUCUUGACAUGCUCUCGAAGUCUACUUCCAAGGUCUUACGCGACAUAUGUGAUCCGUAUGUUUCUUGGAUUGGUGGCAUGGAAGAUGAUGACUUGAUGUAUGCAUGGAGGAUUGCAAAGGUUGUAAUUCCUGGGACUGAGACCGAAAUUGAACUCGCUAAGUUUGCAGGUGGUUUGGGAUCAAAGCAAAUAGAUGUGCCCGAAGAUGCAGGAAAAGCUAUUGCUGAUUGUGACAAACAAGACAUUCUGGAGUGCCUAGAAAGGCUUUUGGGUAUCUACGGAGAGAGAAAGUUAGCACAGCAGUAUCUUGAUAAGUUACUGCUUGGUAUGAUGACAACUGAAGAUCAAAUUGGUGUUACCGGGGCGGCUGUCGGUAGCGAAGAUGAUAAGCAGUUGACAGUUGUAGGUGUGAGAGGGAAAGAUGAGACGCCAGUUGUUGGUCGGUCGUGAAGAUGAUAAACAGUUGUCAGUUGAAGCUGUGGGUAAGAAAGAUGGUACUCUGUUCAUCUAUUGACAAGUGGCAGUUGGAAUGGUAAAAAUAUGGUUUUACCAUACACAAAAGGGGAGACGUAAUGAUGGCCGUUCCACUCAGUCCAAGAAUAAGAAGCGUUAGGUUUUGUUUAGAACCUUCUGUCUGCACAUGUGCCUAAUUCACAUCAUUUAGCUGAUAAUGUAUGUCAUGGCCACACUUGUGAACUCA